AAUGUUUUUAUGUACAGAUUAUAUAAUAAAAAAUGUGUUUAUACCCUUUAGGAUGACUACUCUGCAAGUUGAGGUAUGAGUAUUCCCAGGUCAGUUUUUCUCCCCUUUGUGUGAAGGGCGGCGCUGCAGCAUUUUGUGGCUUAGCUUGUGAACAGCACUUGGGAUCAAACCUGCAGCACAGAAAGGCCAAGACAGGAAACAGGACACACUUGGACUGCCAUAGGUACUUUAUAGACUGUGUACUGUGAGAAGCAGUGGUUGGUGGUUGUUCUGACACCUUUAUAGAGUUGUGGCUUCCAGCUCAUGUGAACUUGGCAGUGAGUCUCUGCUGGUGGUUUUGCUGCCUGUAUUAGGUACUAUUCAGCUGGCUGGGAGUUCAGAUACAACCUUAGUACUGAAAAUAGCAGCAUAUCACAUGGUGGGUAAAUCUCUUUUCUUAUCAAUAAAUAAAACAGUUCAUUUCUAGCAUA
rnacentral:lncRNA from 12 species